rnacentral:tRNA from 1 species
GAUAGUGUGGCCGAGUGGUUUAUGGCGCUGGUAUUAGACAUCAGUUUUUUUCGGAGGCAAGGGUUCGAAUCCCUUCACUGUAA